rnacentral:rRNA from 2 species
UGCAGUCGAGCGGUAACAGAAAGUAGCUUGCUACUUUGCUGACGAGCGGCGGACGGGUGAGUAAUGCUUGGGAACAUGCCUUGAGGUGGGGGACAACAGUUGGAAACGACUGCUAAUACCGCAUAAUGUCUACGGACCAAAGGGGGCUUCGGCUCUCGCCUUUAGAUUGGCCCAAGUGGGAUUAGCUAGUUGGUGAGGUAAUGGCUCACCAAGGCGACGAUCCCUAGCUGGUUUGAGAGGAUGAUCAGCCACACUGGGACUGAGACACGGCCCAGACUCCUACGGGAGGCAGCAGUGGGGAAUAUUGCACAAUGGGCGCAAGCCUGAUGCAGCCAUGCCGCGUGUGUGAAGAAGGCCUUCGGGUUGUAAAGCACUUUCAGUCAGGAGGAAAGGUUAGUAGUUAAUACCUGCUAGCUGUGACGUUACUGACAGAAGAAGCACCGGCUAACUCCGUGCCAGCAGCCGCGGUAAUACGGAGGGUGCGAGCGUUAAUCGGAAUUACUGGGCGUAAAGCGUACGCAGGCGGUUUGUUAAGCGAGAUGUGAAAGCCCCGGGCUCAACCUGGGAACUGCAUUUCGAACUGGCAAACUAGAGUGUGAUAGAGGGUGGUAGAAUUUCAGGUGUAGCGGUGAAAUGCGUAGAGAUCUGAAGGAAUACCGAUGGCGAAGGCAGCCACCUGGGUCAACACUGACGCUCAUGUACGAAAGCGUGGGGAGCAAACAGGAUUAGAUACCCUGGUAGUCCACGCCGUAAACGAUGUCUACUAGAAGCUCGGAGCCUCGGCUCUGUUUUUCAAAGCUAACGCAUUAAGUAGACCGCCUGGGGAGUACGGCCGCAAGGUUAAAACUCAAAUGAAUUGACGGGGGCCCGCACAAGCGGUGGAGCAUGUGGUUUAAUUCGAUGCAACGCGAAGAACCUUACCUACACUUGACAUACAGAGAACUUACCAGAGAUGGUUUGGUGCCUUCGGGAACUCUGAUACAGGUGCUGCAUGGCUGUCGUCAGCUCGUGUUGUGAGAUGUUGGGUUAAGUCCCCGCAACGAGCGCAACCCCUAUCCUUAGUUGCUAGCAGGUAAUGC